ACCGCGUACACUGUAGCGCGUUGAUGUGCGUCAAACAAUAGGACGAUCCAAACCCCCGAGGACCAGCGAUUCCACACCAAUUCUCCUUAGACGGGUCCCCUUCUUCCCAUAAUAAGUUAAUUGUUUCUUAUUUUUUAUCAUCGGUGGGAGGGAGUUCUUCCUGCCUGCACUUCCGGGGUGGCGGAUCUAUUUUCCACACCAAAAAACUCUAACGAAAAAAAAAAACAACUAUCGCUGCAGAAUUGAAAGAGAAAAAAAAAAAUCUCCCCAAUCUCACCAAGAGGCAGUUAAAUACGUUUCCAUUUUAGUUCCUUGCAAAUCAGAGGGGUUCCAGAGGGACGAGGAAGUUAGAAGCCAAUAAAAAUAAAUGAAAUAUGGA